rnacentral:rRNA from 1 species
GUGGGGAAUCUUGCGCAAUGGGCGAAAGCCUGACGCAGCCAUGCCGCGUGAAUGAUGAAGGUCUUAGGAUUGUAAAAUUCUUUCACCGGGGACGAUAAUGACGGUACCCGGAGAAGAAGCUCCGGCUAACUUCGUGCCAGCAGCCGCGGUAAUACGAAGGGGGCUAGCGUUGCUCGGAAUUACUGGGCGUAAAGGGCGCGUAGGCGGACAGCUUAGUCAGAGGUGAAAGCCAAGGGAUCAACCUUGGAAUUGCCUUAGAUACUGGCUGUCUUGAGUUUGGAAGAGGUGAGUGGAACUCCGGGUGUAGAGGUGAAAUUCGUAGAUAUUCGGAAGAAGACCAGUGGCGAAGGCGACUCACUGGCCCAAUACUGACGCUGAGGCGCGAAAGCGUGGGGAGCAAACAGGAUUAGAUACCCCAGUAGUCC